GGCACACCCCCAUCAAAGAGAGGAACGCUUAAAUCACCCAGAACAUUCCACUGUACCCUGCCAUCCAGUCAGUCUUCAGACAUCCCCACAGGCAACCUCAGUUUAUAUUUUUUUCAGUAUUCAUUGGUAUUGGCAGCUCUUCAAGUGACUGGCUCACAGGAUCUGGGUGGCAGCCUGAAUGCAAACUCUGAGCCCCUUGCAAGUCCUUCUUCAGAGGUGCCUGGUGUGAGACAGUAAACCAUGCCAUGAAGCUUGCUAAGGUAGCGCUGGUCUGAUAUCCAGAGACUUGGUCUUCUUGUUUUCCUUACCUGACCUCUACAGUAGAAAGCACAGCACUGCAUUGAGGAGGGAGGAGCACAGCUUGGAUGUUUUCCUGAACUGAAGAUUUCUGUGCGACUCACAGAAGGAAACUGAGGCUGGAGAUGACAGAACAGCCUUUCCAGUCUGAGAAGGCAGCUUCAAGCUAAGUGCAUACUUGUCAGAGGCCUUCUGGGGCAGCUGACACCACUUCCUGAACCUAUGCAGUGUGGACCAGGGACCUGCUGUGAUAUGCUGUCACUCAGGAAAGCCAGAUCCACAACAGCUGACACCACGCCACCAAAGGAGGCUUCUGUUCCCAGAGGCCCUUUUGGUACUUCGCCUCUCUUAGAACAGGACCACUCUUCAUUCAUGGCCUCCUAACCCUUCGUCUCUGGUCCUCUCAGCCACCAUAGAUCUACCUAACCUUGAGUUCCAAAGCUCCACCAUAAGCCUCUACACUUCCCACUACCCAGCAUGCUUUCUGUUGACCAUUUAUCUUCCAAGGGCUUGAGCCCUGGCCCUGGAAUGACAGCUCACAGUUUGAAUUUUGUUCUACGAAUGUGUGAGACAUAAAGGAACACGUGAGCUCAUCAUAUCUGCUGCUGCGUACACUGGAACAGAGGUCAAGAACAUCCAUCCCGCUCUUCUGCACAGUGAACAAAGAGAAACAGAGACAAACAGGGCCCAAGAUCUAAGGGAAUACUGAGUAUGCACACGGGAGCGAUUGGCAAGAUCUAAAUGGAGAGAACUUGAGAGAGCCUUCAGCCAUUGAGCCCUAGUGACAAGGAUGGGCUCCAUCCCCUGAGGACGGUUUGUGAUGGUUCUGAGAUAAACCUCCUCCUAUCUUCUGCACCCAGAUACUGCAGCCAUGCAAGGCACCUUGGAAACAGCUUUAUUGCCCUGGUACUCUGAGAGAACUUCUCUUCUUAGGCCUACUUUAAAAACCAAGUCUGCAAAAUUCACACAGCAAAAGUUGAAACGGGAGUCCAUGUUCACUAAAAGCAAUGGGAGUCACACUGCAAUUCCAAUUCAGAGAAACUUCUUGAAAAUCUUCCAUGAAGAGGCAAUUGUUUAAAUUCUUCAGGAUUCAGAGAAGUGAGGCCAAGGUACCCGGUGUGACUAAGAUACUUAGUUAUCCAACUCCUUCUUUGAGUUCCCCACUCCCCACCUCCACCCGCUCCUGGUACAGUUUAUAUUUUCAUUAAUCAGGGUGUUCUACAGACUCUCCAAACUCAAUUCAAAUGAGUCCAGCAAAGGAGAGAAUCAGCUCAGCAGAGAGCCAUGGCCAAGGCAAGGAUGGAGCUAACUGCAGAACCUACUGGGCCCCUCAGCUUUCUCUUCCUCUUGCCGCUCCUUGCUGGUGCCUUCAUUUCCCCAGCAAUUUGACUUUCCCCAGGACUAUCGAUUUCAUAUCUUCAAAGUACUAUGGCCCUGGGACAAACUGGCCUCCGUCCCCAGCUCCAUCAGAGGCUUUGAUUUCCCUGGGCUUCAUCAAGGUCUUAUCCUUUUGGUCUGGGACCACGUUCUGCUUCCGUUCCACCAGAAAGAAAAGUCAGAGCAGUUAAAAACAGUGCAGGGUCACUUCAACUUUCUCUGUCACAGCUCUUGAUACAAAGUCACUUCUCCCUGAAAGUGUAGUCCCCAAACUCUGCUUUUCUGCGGUCCCCAAAGCCUGGGUUGAUAAACAUCCAAAACUGCUUCAUCCCUGUUCUGCCCUUACAGAUCCCUGAGUCUUUUCUCAAGUGGGCUUAAAUAUAUGCAAUUGAAUGUACUUAAUGAAACACUGUGUCUAGAAGGCUGAAUUUUAAUGUAAGCAAAUUGUUUCAGGUUAUUAUAGGAUCAUUCAAAGGCAUUGCUGUCAAUCACUCUCUUAGUCAACUCUCUUCUGAUUCUAGAUAUAUUCAGAGAACAUCACCCAGAGCAUUUAUGGUAAUGUGUUGCACCAAGUUACACAACCAUAUUUUCUUAACCUCAGAAAUCACAGACUUCCAAAAAUAGUGUCAGAGGGAAAAGAUGGAAGAUUUAAAGCGACAUAAAUGCCAAACCCCAUGCCUGUCCUUUGCCUUCCUAUUCUGUUGCCUUCCAAGCCAUACGUGGAAGAGAGAGAGAGAGAGAGAGAGAGAGAAAGAGAGAGAGAGAGCAAGGAGGUACUGGAGAAAGAGAAGCCUUGCCAACAGCACUCUAUUUGGAGGGGAGUUAAGGCCCAUGUUGGAAGCUUGGCUCCCAGUGCAGUAGCAUUCAGAGCCGGGUUUUUGCAAGGCAAUUGCAUCAUAACGGUUCUGCCUUCCCUUGAUAGGUCCAAAUGACUGUAUUACUAGGAGACAGUACAAAAUGGGAGAUGGGGGACUGGUUGGAGGAGGUAAUUCCUUACACUUCUGGAGGCCAGAAAGGCCAAAAUGGGGUAAGGACAUCUGUUGAAUUGGUGUGUUUUGUAGGUUCUUCCAAAAAUAAGAUGAUGCCACAGUCUGACCUAUCUGCUCUCCUCCCCUCCUCCACUGCUUAUCUCUUACAGCCAAAUCCAUUUUUAGAGAACCUUCUCCACGAGGAAGAUAUCCUUGACUUCCUCCAAAUGCUGAUUGCCACCUGAGAUGCCUAAGAUCAGAACUGACACAUGGCUGUGUGCACAGGUGCUCACUGAUGUGUCUACAAUGCCAGUUUCCAGUCACCUACAAGUGUCCGAGUUGCUUCUCAAAGCUAGAGCAGGGACUAUGGCUUGUUUACCUCUUUAGUCCCCUGUGGAACAAAGUAUCUGAGCCAUUGCAAAGAUUUCAGAGAUGCUGUGGACUGAGCUAUUAUACACAUGACCAGCACCUGGUGAUACUUCGGUAGUAUAUGUUCAUAGUUCCAAGUGAGGGACUAAAGGAGAGCACUCUGAGUACACACUGGGCUUAUAGGAGCUCAGCAACCUUUCGCAGAACAGAACCCUGAACCAUCUUUAGAAAGUAGCUGUUUCUUCUGCACUUAGCUUAUAUAUUGGCUAGGUGCCUAAAGCAAACCACAAUAUGGAACAACAGAUAUGAUAGGAGCCAUUCACAUUUAAAUAUUUUAAAAGAGAGGGGAAAGAGAAAAAGAGAUCAAGAAUCUAAGCCCAGUCUCUGCUACACAGCAAACUAAAAGCCAGUCUAGGCCAACCUAGGCUACAAAGCUUGUCAGAAAAGAAGAGAAGAGAAGAGAAGAGAAGAGAAGAGAAG
rnacentral:lncRNA from 1 species